rnacentral:lncRNA from 1 species
UCUUUAAAAUCAGUUUAUAAAAGGGUUUAAAUUGCUGAAUUUCAUCUUUUCAUAUAUAAGAGUGAAAUCUCCCCCUAUAUCAUUUAAAUAUUGCCAAUUUGACUCUUUGAAUUGCUCCCCCUUUCAUUUAUAAUUCAUUAGUGAUGAAACUUCAAAAAUUUGAGAUAAAAUAUGAGUUUCAGGUUAUGUAUCGGGGUAUGAAAGGUGCGUGCCAAAUUCUGAAUUUAUAUGUGCCAAAUUCUGAAAUUUGAUAGAAAUUUUUUGAUUUGAUGAUUUUCAUUGUUACAAAUUGCUCCCCCUUAGAUGUAUAAGCUAUCUUAUAUGAUUUUCAAUUUGUUUGCCCAGUUAUUUCUCUUUUCUUGCAUAAGUUCUUAUUUCUCUUUCUUUACAUAAUCCUUUCUUUAACUUUCUUUACUUUUGCUCUUCUUAUUCUUUCUUUACUUACUCUAAAGAAAUCUUUGCUUCUCCCCUUUUUGUUACUUUGUUUACUCUAAACAAUAUCUUUACUUCUCCCAAAAUUAA